rnacentral:rRNA from 1 species
UUGAAGAGUUUGAUCAUGGCUCAGAUUGAACGCUGGCGGCAGGCCUAACACAUGCAAGUCGAACGGUAACAGAAAGCAGCUUGCUGCUUUGCUGACGAGUGGCGGACGGGUGAGUAAUGUCUGGGAAACUGCCUGAUGGAGGGGGAUAACUACUGGAAACGGUAGCUAAUACCGCAUAACGUCGCAAGACCAAAGAGGGGGACCUUCGGGCCUCUUGCCAUCGGAUGUGCCCAGAUGGGAUUAGCUAGUAGGUGGGGUAACGGCUCACCUAGGCGACGAUCCCUAGCUGGUCUGAGAGGAUGACCAGCCACACUGGAACUGAGACACGGUCCAGACUCCUACGGGAGGCAGCAGUGGGGAAUAUUGCACAAUGGGCGCAAGCCUGAUGCAGCCAUGCCGCGUGUAUGAAGAAGGCCUUCGGGUUGUAAAGUACUUUCAGCGAGGAGGAAGGUGUUGUGGUUAAUAACCACAGCAAUUGACGUUACUCGCAGAAGAAGCACCGGCUAACUCCGUGCCAGCAGCCGCGGUAAUACGGAGGGUGCAAGCGUUAAUCGGAAUUACUGGGCGUAAAGCGCACGCAGGCGGUUUGUUAAGUCAGAUGUGAAAUCCCCGGGCUCAACCUGGGAACUGCAUUUGAAACUGGCAAGCUUGAGUCUCGUAGAGGGGGGUAGAAUUCCAGGUGUAGCGGUGAAAUGCGUAGAGAUCUGGAGGAAUACCGGUGGCGAAGGCGGCCCCCUGGACGAAGACUGACGCUCAGGUGCGAAAGCGUGGGGAGCAAACAGGAUUAGAUACCCUGGUAGUCCACGCUGUAAACGAUGUCGACUUGGAGGUUGUGCCCUUGAGGCGUGGCUUCCGGAGCUAACGCGUUAAGUCGACCGCCUGGGGAGUACGGCCGCAAGGUUAAAACUCAAAUGAAUUGACGGGGGCCCGCACAAGCGGUGGAGCAUGUGGUUUAAUUCGAUGCAACGCGAAGAACCUUACCUACUCUUGACAUCCACGGAACUUAGCAGAGAUGCUUUGGUGCCUUCGGGAACCGUGAGACAGGUGCUGCAUGGCUGUCGUCAGCUCGUGUUGUGAAAUGUUGGGUUAAGUCCCGCAACGAGCGCAACCCUUAUCCUUUGUUGCCAGCGGUUAGGCCGGGAACUCAAAGGAGACUGCCAGUGAUAAACUGGAGGAAGGUGGGGAUGACGUCAAGUCAUCAUGGCCCUUACGAGUAGGGCUACACACGUGCUACAAUGGCAUAUACAAAGAGAAGCGACCUCGCGAGAGCAAGCGGACCUCAUAAAGUAUGUCGUAGUCCGGAUUGGAGUCUGCAACUCGACUCCAUGAAGUCGGAAUCGCUAGUAAUCGUAGAUCAGAAUGCUACGGUGAAUACGUUCCCGGGCCUUGUACACACCGCCCGUCACACCAUGGGAGUGGGUUGCAAAAGAAGUAGGUAGCUUAACCUUCGGGAGGGCGCUUACCACUUUGUGAUUCAUGACUGGGGUGAAGUCGUAACAAGGUAACCGUAGGGGAACCUGCGGUUGGAUCACCUCCUU